GACGAACCGUGCGAACGUUGUUCGGAAUCACUGGGCUUAAAGGGCGCGUAGGCGGGUGUGCAAGUCUGUGGUGAAAGCCUCCAGCUUAACUGGAGAAGUGCCGUGGAUACUGCUCAUCUUGAGGAGGGUAGGGGCAUCUGGAACGGUCGGUGGAGCGGUGAAAUGCGUUGAUAUCGACCGGAACUCCGGUGGCGAAGGCGAGGUGCUGGACCCUUUCUGACGCUGAGGCGCGAAAGCCAGGGGAGCAAAGCGGG
rnacentral:rRNA from 1 species